UACAGAGGGGGCAAGCGUUAUUCGGAAUUAUUGGGCGUAAAGGGCGCGUAGGCGGCUUGGCAAGUGGAUGGUGAAAUCCCUCGGCUUAACCGAGGAACUGCCGUCCAAACUGCUUCGCUUGAGACCGGGAGAGGUGAGUGGAAUUCCCAGUGUAGCGGUGAAAUGCGUAGAUAUUGGGAGGAACACCAGUGGCGAAGGCGGCUCACUGGCCCGGUACUGACGCUGAGGUGCGAAAGCGUGGGGAUCAAACAGG
rnacentral:rRNA from 1 species